GUUUUAUUCCUCUCUGCAGUCUGUUCCUCCCUAAAGGCUCCAAUCAGGUUCAGUCUAAUCCGUUUCAGGCUGUUUACAUAUGACUGCCGGCAGUCUCACAUAAACAUGGCUAUGUAAGCUGCAGGGUGUGUGUAAGCAGAUAAAAGAGAUGGAGGGAAGACAGAAUUCAUAACAAUAAUUUUCCUCUAAUCAGUCAAAUAUUAAAAAUAAAUCAUAAGUUGAGUUUAUUUCUGAUUUUUUUUUUACGAUAUGUUCAACUAAUCUAGAUGAGCUUCAAAGUUUCUGACCUCAGUGAGAGUGGUGUAGUCAAAGCUCAGAUUAAUGGAAACGUUGUUUUCAGGUCAGACAGGAAAUCUGCAGGGAAGAGACUAAAGUGGGUCAGAAAUAUUAAAACCAGCCAACAGCCACAGGACAGAACCAGAGCCAUCUGCUAUCUGGGUCAGAACCAGAACCAUCUGCUGGUACUGGGCGGAGCUGCGGUCUAAACCGAUCCAGUUAACCAGAACCAGAAGUUCGGUUGUAACUUGGUGGAUUUCUGGGCACCUUUUCUAAAGUGACACAGUAAAAAAUGAACAGCAAUAAUUUUCUUUCUUUAACCUUUCAUAAAGAAAAAUGAGGCUGUUAAUUUUCACCAUAUUGUUCAUACAUGAAUAAAUAUCAGAGUUCCAACAUUCGCCAGCUUUACUGUACAAACUGAAUAUUGAAAUUAAGUAUUUAGUUAGGAAUUUAAAUAUUUAAUUUGAUAGCUAAAUAUUAUGACGUAAUUUCUCCCUCUGACCAGAACCGAACCACGAACCCAGUCACCUCCUCUGUUCCUGGAGAGUUUCAUUGUUAGAGCGCCUCAUGCUGGCCAGGUUCUGUUAUUACAACACGUCGGGUCUUCAUGGGUUUGCAUGAAAACAUUUUCAGAAAAAACGUCAUGUUCACCAGGAACCUUAAAAAAAACACACAAACAAAAAGUGGAGAAAACUUUCAGGUUUGACCAGCCGACUGGACGGCGGCCGCGUGUGGCCCCCGAGCCGCGUGUUGAGCCCCUCGGUGACGUGGUGAGUGAUGCGCGGCCGCCCUGGUGUUGAGAAAUGGCCGGAUUCUGGCAGCGCUGCCAUCGGCCUGAUUCACAACACCAGCUGCAGCAGCACGUCAGAGAGGAGGUUCGGCUGUCGGUCCGGUUCCGAUGCGCCUGCAGCAGACAGAACUGCAGGGAGGAUGAUGAGGACGAAGGCCCCGAACCGGAACCGGCAACCAUCUGCCAACAGGCAACACGCCGCAGAUCACCGCGCCUGCAGCAACUUGCCCUCAGACAUUCUGGAUGAUUUACUGUCAAAAACAAAACCACGAAGAGUGAAAUGAUGAUCUGAAGGUUUUUCUUCCUUUUUCAGGAAAUGCUGACAAAUGAUUCGUCCGACACUGAACAGUUUUUUAAAUUAUCAGCCAAUCAGCGAGCAGAUCUAAAUCUGCUGCUUGAAUCCAGAAAAAUGACUAAAAUCUGAUUUAAUUAGAAACCAGUUGAUGAGAUGGUCUUUAAGCUCAAGCCGUGUUGUUUUUACAUCUGCGAUCAGAGACUUCCUGUCGGAAGUGGAUUGGGUCAGAGGAUGAUUAAGGGUCAGGGUGUUUCAUCUCCAUGGAGACAGUCCAACAGAACCAGCGUCCCCUUCUGCACAUUUAGAACAGAUUUUUUGAGUCAAAAAAACUUUUUAGACGAAGGAAAUAAAGAUCAACAUCUGGAACACGACGCAUUCAUUUACACUAAAUCAUUUCUGACCCGCAGCCCUGAACGCAUCCUGCUGGUUGAGCACCUACCACUUUUUUCUACCACUCAACUUUCCAUUAAUACACUUGGAUGCAAAAAUGAAUAUGGAGAUAACUGAACAGGCCCGCUUUAUCAUUCUUUAUGAUUAUUGUAACUAUAAACUGGAUUCGGGGUUUUAAUUGCUGGAAGCCGUAAAAUAAACUUCUGAAAUAUUUUUGCUCCAUCUGGACUGAAACUUUUUCUGUUGAAAAACUGGAAUAAAUGAAUUUUCUACAUCA